rnacentral:rRNA from 1 species
AAGCUCGUAGUUGGAUUUCUGUUAAUAAUUUAUAUAAAAUAUUUUGAUGAAUAUUUAUAUAAUAUUAACAUAAUUCAUAUUACUAUUUUUUAGUAUAUGAAAUUUUACUUUGAGAAAAUUAGAGUGCUUAAAGCAGGCAUAUGCCUUGAAUACUCCAGCAUGGAAUAAUAUUAAAGAUUUUUAUCUUUUUUAUUGGUUCUAAGAUAAGAAUAAUGAUUAAUAGGGACAGUUGGGGGCAUUUGUAUUUAACAGUCAGAGGUGAAAUUCUUAGAUUUGUUAAAGACAAACUAAUGCGAAAGCAUUUGCCAAGGAUGUUUUCAUUAAUCAAGAACGAAAGUUAGGGGAUCGAAGACGAUCAGAUACCGUCGUAGUCUUAACCAUAAACUAUGCCAACUAGAGAUUGGAGGUUGUUCCUUACUCCUUCAGCACCUUA